rnacentral:misc_RNA from 1 species
CAGGGUCUGACGACUGCCCAAACCAAACCGUGAACCUUUUUUUAUACCAUCAUUGCUACGGCGGACCGCUCGCUGGGGGAGCCUCUGGCCGUCGAGAGACGGUGGGCCGCCGGAGCAAACCAAAAAAACCACUUCUGAAAUUCUUCUGAGAAAAACUUUCAAAAAGUCA